UGGGGAAUUUUGGACAAUGGGCGCAAGCCUGAUCCAGCAAUGCCGCGUGCGGGAAGAAGGCCUUAGGGUUGUAAACCGCUUUUAGCAGGAGCGAAAAGGUCGAUUCUAAUAAAGUCGACUGAUGACGGUACCUGCAGAAUAAGCACCGGCUAACUACGUGCCAGCAGCCGCGGUAAUACGUAGGGUGCAAGCGUUAAUCGGAAUUACUGGGCGUAAAGCGUGCGCAGGUGGUUGCGUAAGAUGAGUGUGAAAUACCUGGGCUUAACCUGGGAAUUGCAUUCGUGACUGCGCGGCUAGAGUGUGGUAGAGGAGGGUAGAAUUCCGCGUGUAGCAGUGAAAUGCGUAGAUAUGCGGAGGAAUACCGAUGGCGAAGGCAGCCCUCUGGACCAUUACUGACACU
rnacentral:rRNA from 1 species